AUAAGGCCACAUCCGCUGUCUGCUGGCCUUACCCUAUGGCUACAUGUCUCAAUGGUUCAGAUAACCAUCCCUUCCUUUCCCUUUCAGGCCAAGGGACAUAACUGGCUGCCCACUGGUCAGCCUCCUGGGGCAGGCACAGAAGGGUGGAGGGAAGACCUCAUUAAAUAAAGACAUCCAGCACACCAAAACAGGCAGAAAGCAGACAUGAUAACGAGAUUGCCACCUAUUUACCUUCUUGUAACCAUAAGAAUGAGGGAAGCUUCAUUCCGACGGAGUUCGACCAAAAUAGAGAAGAAGUUGUAAGGGUCUAGAAUUCAGUGUAGAAGUGUAUGCAGGAGACACCAAUCUGGAUAUUAGCACAUAAACAGUAUUUAAAACUACAAGACUGUAUGGGGUUACCAAAAAAGUGAGAAAAGCAGAAUCCUGGACCACACCGCAGUUCAGAGUUUGGAAAAAUGAGGAAGAGCCAGUAAAGGAAAACUGAGGAUUGGUCAACGAGGUAGAAAGAAAAACCUCUGAUGGAAUUGCAACAUGGGCAGAAACCAGAGGUAGGAAGGCAGGCAACCCUUGCAUAAAAAUAUCCACUCACCAACUGUUCACCAACUGUUCUUCCUCUUGCUGGCAUACCUUAUGCAGCAUCCUCAGAUGCCAGAGCGCGUUUCUGCUGCAGCCUCCACGAUGCCUGGGCUGAUAGCAAUCAGGUCCUGCUAUGCUUCUUUCAGGAAGAGCUGACCCCUGGAAUCUGGGCUAGACUUGCACUUGUUUUGGCCAUUGGAAUAUCAAGCUGACUUUUUGUGGGCUCUGGAGACUAGGACCUAAAAGGAGGAAUGUUGCCCCCUCAUCAUUAUGUAAAGAAGCUGGCGCAACCUGCUGGAGGAGAAUAUGCCACCUGGGGAAGAACUGAGGCACCCAGCCAACAUCCAGCACCCACCACUAGACAUGAAAACACUGGUCGGUUACUAAUGGAGAAGAAGAAAAAGCAGCAAAGACAACGAGUAUACUUGGGAUGCGAUCGCAUGCCUGGAGCAUCUGAGUAUUGGUUGGAAAGAGGUAAAUCAGGCACCAUUUCUCCAUGAUGUGUCAGGACCUGAAUCUGUCAUUUGCGAGCCUGACCUCAUAACUCAGCCAAGCCAAGCUGCAAGGCACCCUGGGAACCCAUCACUGAAAGACUGCAGAGGGAGGAAGGCAAGGGCAGGAAUAGCCAGCUGGUCAAGCAGCAGAGUGUCUCCUCAGCUCCCAGGAAAUGGUGUCUAAGGGUGAUGAUGAACUGGGACUUCAUCUGAGUCCAAAAUAAUGAUGCUGCUGAUGCAACAGCAGAACUUAUUAAACACUUACUACUGCAUAUGCCACUAUGAGGUAGACUUACAGAGAAUAAGUUACUCUCCCAUAAUCACACAGCCAGUAAAUGACAGAAAUGGGAUCCAAUCCAAAUAUGUUUCAUUCUAAAGCCCAUGCUCUUCACCAACAAAGCCCAACUUGAUUUAAUUUAUCCCCAAACAUACCAACAUCCAUUUGUUAGUUCCCUUCCCAAUUUAACUUUAAGCGUCUCACAUACAUACACUGUUUUUAUCCUAACAACAAGUUGGUGAGGAACUGAGCUCAGAGAGGUUAAUCCACCCACUGAAAGGCACCCAGUGUUUAAGAGCAGAGGGAGGGGCCUGACACAGGUCUUUCGGAGCAUGACAUGCAUGUUCUGUCCACAAGGCCUGUUGCUGCCUUUCCCCCAGAGGUCCAGACUGAGGACGGGACAGAGUAGAUAAAGACAGCAGUGUGAGAGGAGGCAGUGGGCAAUAUGGGGAAUCUAGGGGCAGCAGUAUGCUGGUCCCAUAUAAUCAGGCCCGGGGGAGGGGCCCAGACAGAGGGUGGCAGACUCUCUGUACUCCAGCAAGACAAUCCCAGAAGAAAUGCCAGAGAGAUCAAUGAGAAGGCCAGUCAUUUACACUGGGCACACACACAGUGUUUAGGGUACUCAGAUAGGUACCCAGGCCUCACCCCAGGCUGUUUGGACACCAGGAGUCAUAGCACUCUUCCAGGCCACAACUGCUACUUGGGGUGGGAGGAGAGGAUGAGACGUGGCAUUUGUGGAAUAAUGACUGUGGCCAAGCAGUGGGCUCUGUAUGAUGCCAUCGUCAAUUCUCACAGCAAUUCUACAACAUAGGUUUUGUUACUUCUCUCUCACGCUUUACCCUAAAUUUCUCCUGCCUACCACAGUGCUUGGCACACACAAACAGAAUAAUAAUGUGUGGAACUGACUAAUUCAUUUUCCAUUCUGCUGGUCAGGGAGAAAUUAAUAGAGGCAGAGGCUAUUAAUAAAACAUUAC
rnacentral:lncRNA from 1 species